rnacentral:rRNA from 1 species
GGCCAUGACAACCAUAUAGGGCGAAUGAAUUUAGCCGGCGCGAAUCGCCCUUAGAGUUUGAUCCUGGCUCAGGAUGAACGCUAGCGGCAGGCUUAACACAUGCAAGUCGAGGGGCAGCAUAAUGAAGUAGCAAUACGGAUUUGAUGGCGACCGGCGCACGGGUGCGUAACGCGUAUGCAACCUACCCAUAACAGGGGGAUAACACUGAGAAAUUGGUACUAAUACCCCAUAACACUUUAGAAGGCACCUUUUGAAGUUGAAAGUUCAGGCGGUUAUGGAUGGGCAUGCGUUGUAUUAGCUAGAUGGUGAGGUAACGGCUCACCAUGGCUACGAUACAUAGGGGGACUGAGAGGUUAACCCCCCACACUGGUACUGAGACACGGACCAGACUCCUACGGGAGGCAGCAGUGAGGAAUAUUGGUCAAUGGACGCAAGUCUGAACCAGCCAUGCCGCGUGCAGGAAGACGGCUCUAUGAGUUGUAAACUGCUUUUGUACAAGGGUAAACCCUGGGACGCGUCUCAGGCUGAAAGUACUGUACGAAUAAGGAUCGGCUAACUCCGUGCCAGCAGCCGCGGUAAUACGGAGGAUCCAAGCGUUAUCCGGAUUUAUUGGGUUUAAAGGGUGCGUAGGCGGAAUAGUAAGUUAGAGGUGAAAGCUCGGGGCUCAACUCCGGAACUGCCUCUGAUACUGCUAAUCUAGAGAGUAGAUGCGGUAGGCGGAAUGUAUGGUGUAGCGGUGAAAUGCUUAGAGAUCAUACAGAACACCGAUUGCGAAGGCAGCUUACCANACUAUAUCUGACGUUGAGGCACGUAUGCGUGGGGAGCAUACAGGCUUAGAUACCCUGAUAGUCCACGCAGUAAACGAUGAUAGCUCGUUAUCGGCGAUACACACUCGGUGAAUUAGAGAAAUCGAUAAGAUAUCCAGAUGGGGAGUACGUUCGCAAGAAUGAAACUCGAAGGAACUGACGGGGGCCCGCACAAGCGGAGGAACAUGUGAUGUAACUCGAUGAUAAGCGAGGAACCUUACCCGGGCACGAAAGAUAGAGCCGUAUUCGGACACAGGUCUUCCCAUCGGGGCACGAGAGUAGGUGGAGCAUGAUUCUUGUCAGCUCCUUCCGUGAGGAGUCGGGUCAAGUCCCAUGAAGCGCGCAACCCGUGUUGAUAGUCGCCAUCAGGAAAAGUUGGGCACUCGAUGGGCAGUGCCUUCACAAGGAGGAGGAGGGUGGGGAUGACGUCAAAUCAGCGCGGCCAUUACGUCCGGGGCGACACACGUGUUACAAUGGUAGGGACAGAGGGCAGCCACCCAGCGAUGGGGAGCCCAUGUCGAAAGCAUAUGUCAACUCGGAAUGGAGCCUGGAGCUCGCUCUGCCAUGAAAUUGGAUUCUGCUAGUAAUCGCAGCAUCAGCCAUGGCGCGGAGGAUACGUUCCCGGGCCUUGUACACACCGCCCGUCAAGGGCGAAUUCUGUAGAAACAAUGCAGGAGCGAGUCCAAUUCAGUGAGCGCUAAUUGUGGCUGCAGUCUGG